rnacentral:piRNA from 1 species
UCCUGAGAGUAGCUAGUGAUGGUCCGAGC